UACGUAGGUGGCAAGCGUUGUCCGGAUUUACUGGGUGUAAAGGGAGCGUAGGUGGGCGAAUAAGUCAGCUGUGAAAUCCAUAGGCUUAACCUAUGAACUGCAGUUGAAACUGUUUGUCUUGAGUGAAGUAGAGGCAGGCGGAAUUCCGAGUGUAGCGGUGAAAUGCGUAGAUAUUCGGAGGAACACCAGUGGCGAAGGCGGCCUGCUGGGCUUUAACUGACGCUGAGGCUCGAAAGUGUGGGGAGCAAAC
rnacentral:rRNA from 1 species